AAACUGUUCCUGAUUCUAAAGAGUUGCAACCGCACUUCUGCUAGGGUUUGCCUCCUUACCGUUUCAAGUUCGCUUAAGUUGUUCCUACGCCACCUCUUUAGCCACUCCCAGGGCAGCAGUGCUCGUUAUCGUGCCGCCAAGGCUUCUGUUAACCCUUCCUCCAGAUGGGCGAGGUUCUCGUGGUUAGCAAGGAAAUGGCGAUUCCGCUGCUUAGCCAUCGGGGCUGGAUCUUUUUAUUUUCUUCAUGGUUUUCGUUAGGGCUAUGGCCCAUGUAUUGUUUUACGCCUUGCUACUCUUUUCUCUUUUGCUAGACUUGUACUUGGUUUCCGUUGGCAUCGUGGUGUGCCCAGGUUGUAGGGAUUGUGUUUAGGA